UAAGCAUAUCAAUAAGCGGAGGAAAAGAAACCAACAGGGAUUGCCCUAGUAACGGCGAGUGAAGCGGCAACAGCUCAAAUUUGAAAUCUGGCUUCGGCCCGAGUUGUAAUUUGCAGAGGAUGUUUAUGGUGCGGUACCUUCCGAGUUCCCUGGAACGGGACGCCACAGAGGGUGAGAGCCCCGUCUGGUUGGAUACCAAACCUGUGUUAAACUCCUUCAACGAGUCGAGUAGUUUGGGAAUGCUGCUCUAAAUGGGAGGUAAAUCUCUUCUAAAGCUAAAUACCGGCCAGAGACCGAUAGCGCACAAGUAGAGUGAUCGAAAGAUGAAAAGCACCUUGAAAAGGGGGUUAAACAGUACGUGAAAUUGUUAAAAGGGAAGCGUUUAUGACCAGACUUGUGUCGUGUGGCUCAUCCGAGGUUCUCCCCGGUGCACUCCACACGGCUCAGGCCAACAUCGGUUCUCGUUGGGGGAUAAGAACAGUAGGAACGUGGCCCUCUUCGGAGGGUGUUAUAGCCUGCUGUACGAUACCCUGAUGGGGACCGAGGACCGCGCUUCGGCUAGGAUGUUGGCGUAAUGGUCAUUAGCGACCCGUCUUGAAACACGGACCAAGGAGUCGUCCAUUAGAGCGAGCGUUUGGGUGUAAAACCCGCACGCGUAAUGAAAGUGAAAUUAGGUGAGAGCUUCGGCGCAUCAUCGACCGAUCCUGAAGUUUACGGAUGGAUUUGAGUAAGAGUUUUAACGGACGGACCCGAAAGACAGUGAACUAUGCUUGAAUAGGGUGAAGCCAGAGGAAACUCUGGUGGAGGCUCGCAGCGGUUCUGACGUGCAAAUCGAUCGUCAAAUUUGAGCAUGGGGGCGAAAGACUAAUCGAA
rnacentral:rRNA from 1 species